rnacentral:rRNA from 1 species
CAGGGGGUGUUUUUCUUUGAAAGUCGACGAUGAAAGCCCAGCUUGCUGGGGGGAUUAGUGGCGAACGGGUGAGUAACACGUGAGUAACCUGCCCUUAACUCUGGGAUAAGCCUGGGAAACUGGGUCUAAUACCGGAUAGGAGCGCCCACCGCAUGGGGGGUGUUGGAAAGAUUUAUCGGUUUUGGAUGGACUCGCGGCCUAUCAGCUUGUUGGUGAGGUAAUGGCUCACCAAGGCGACGACGGGUAGCCGGCCUGAGAGGGUGACCGGCCACACCGGGACUGAAACACGGCCCAAACUCCUACGGGAGGCAGCAGUGGGGAAUAUUGCACAAUGGGCGAAAGCCUGAUGCAACGACGCCGCGUGAGGGAUGACGGCCUUCGGGUUGUAAACCUCUUUCAGUAGGGAAAAAGCGAAAGUGACGGUACCUGCAAAAAAAGCACCGGCUAACUACGUGCCAGCAGCCGCGGUAAUACGUAGGGUGCGAGCGUUAUCCGGAAUUAUUGGGCGUAAAGAGCUCGUAGGCGGUUUGUCGCGUCUGUCGUGAAAGUCCGGGGCUUACCCCCGGAUCUGCGGGGGGUACGGACAAACUAAAGUGCAGUAGGGGAGACUGGAAUUCCUGGUGUAGCGGUGGAAUGCGCAAAUAUCAGGAGGAACACCGAUGGCGAAGGCAGGUCUCUGGG